UCCCGCCUAGAAUUUUAUAAGUGAAGUUCCGAUUUGCCCUUAUUCCUUACGCGUGAAAUUCGUUCUUUUGCUUAACAGUCGCAAUUUCUUCUUAUCAAUCCCUUUAAACGUGGAGGUAAAUUGGAUUUAAAUCAUGCGUUAUCUUUCUCUUCAGUAACCAAAAUCUCUUGAAAUCGUGGAGCAAAUCAUCUCCAAAAUUGAAUGAUAAGAGAAUAUAUUUUCUUAGUCAUCACCACCACACCAUUACUGCUUUAUCACGAUUGCUACUACACCGUUUUCACCACCGCCUCCAUUCUUUUUCAGCACCAACGUUUACCUAGAGAUGACACGUUUGCUCGAAAAAUAUUUAAUCAACCAGAGGAAUCGAUGUUCAAGGCUAACAUAAAGUAGAAGAAACGGCACCAGGUACCAUAUAACAACUUGGAUGAUUUUAUCCCUUUGCGAAAGUAUCCUAAGCUAUAACGAUACUCUUGCAACAUGCCAAUCCGAGCUAGAAGCUACAAAGUUAGAAGUUCAGAAGUGGUUUGCUUCAUGUUGCUCAAAUGCAGGUAACUUAAUGUAGUUAUCUAAAUCAAAAUGUCAUUUUAAUGUAGUUGGCUUGCUUCAUGUUUCUCAAAUUUUCUGUUUUUGUAUAAAAAUCAAUUGUUAUGUUGCGAGGAACCCUUGGCGUCUCUGCCUGCUCAUCCACGAGGCAUGCUUGAAUCUGAUGUGGAACCCCUUUAUAUCAAGUUUUGCUGCUACUCACCAUUAGAUCAAAUUGAGAGUGCAUCUACACCAUAUUUACAAUUUUCUGUUAUGAAUUGGUUCAAAAAAUGGAUAUUUUUUGCUUGGAGUGUUAGCCUCUCAUGACGAUUUCCUUUAAGGUCCUUGAUACUUUUCUUAGAGAUAUAGCUUAGGAAAUAUGGUGUCUUUUAUCCCUUGUGACUUGGAGAAUGAAAAAUAUGUUCGGUAAUAGUGAUGAAACGAGCCUUGUACAUGGUGGUUUUGGUUCCAGUUAUGAGAUUAAGUUUUCUUUUAUAGUUCUCGAUGGAGAUUCAAAUGGUAAUACGUACCUAUAUGUAUCAACUUAUGUUUUACUUGGUGACUUUGGAUGUAAUUACUUAAGCAAUACGCUUUCAUUUCA